CCCUUCCUUUCCUCCAGAGCCUGAGGCAGCCGCGGGGGAGGCGGCCGCUCCUACCUCCCCUCACCUACUCUGUCCCCACCCCCACUCCGCUCCCACCUCCCGCCCGCCACGGGCCGGUUACCUGCUCGUCGAAGCGGCUGACCACGGCCUGGACCCAUUCCACCGGCCUGUGCGCGGCCAUGUCCUCCCCGCGGCCGGGGGGCGGCGGAGGGAAGGGUGGGCCGGCGCCCUGGGCCGGGAAGAGGGCGGGGAGCGGAGGCUGAGACAGAGUCUCACCCUGUCACCCAGGCUGGAGUGCAGAGGCGCGAUCUCGGCUCACUGCAACCUCCGCCUCCCGGUUGAAGUGAUUCUUCUGCCUCAGCCUCCCGAGUAGCUGGGACUACAGGCAUGCGCCACCACAGCCGGCUAAUUUUUGUAUUUUUAGUAGAGACGGUGUUUCACCAUAUUGGCCAGGCUGGUCUUGAACUCCUGACCUCAUGAUCCGCCCACCUCAGCCUCCCAAAGUACUGGGAUUACAGGUGUGAGCCACCGCACCUGGCCUGGAAUGAGUAAUUUUAAAAUUUGUCUUCCUCGAUACAUUUUACCUAGGCAAAUGUUUUUGUUUUUCAGAGACAAGGUCUGACUCUGUGCAGUGGAGUGCAGUGGCUCAAUCAUAGCUCACUCCAGCCUCAGACUCCUGGGCCGAAGUGAUCCUCCCACCUCAAGCUCCUGAAUAGCUGGGACUACAGGUGAGUGUCACCCUGCUUUGGCUAAUUUUUUUUUUUUUUUUUUUUUUGGUAGAGACACAGUCUUGCUAUGUUGCCCAGGCUGGUCUGGAACUCCUGGCCUCAAGUGAUCCCCCUGCCUUGGCCUCCCAAAGUGCUGGGAUGACAGGGGUGAGCUACCACACAGGCCCCUAGGCCAAUGUUAAAAUGAAUUUACACAUUCCAAGCACGCGCUAAUCAGCCAGUUAAGCCACACAGACACUGGGUGAUAAGGGAGAACAAAACUAGAAUUUUAAUUUUCCUACAGAAAAGCCACAAAGCCAGUAGCCCACAUACAGAGAGAUAUAUCCUUGAGAAAAGUUUCCAAUCUCUAGGUUGGUGGUUGUCCAAAAUACAUAUUAAAUUAAUGUUUUAUUCCACUAGAACAGACAGACAGUUUGGACAUGUCUUUUGUCCCUUCUUCUUUAAGGAUGCAAUGCAGAUACUAAUUUCUUUUAGAUGAUGUCAGAAUGAUGACUAUGCUGGAAAGAAAUGGAUGAAUAUUAAAUGAAUGUCUAUCUAUGUUUCUCCCAAGUAGGACCCCUGAAAAAGCACUCACUCAUACCCCCAAGAUAGUAUUCCAGUGCCCCCUACUGCACUGCUAAACUUCAGACCUAUGACCUUCCUCUCCUUUUCUCAUACUUCCUCUGAAAGUCCCUAACUACUUCCUUGUUGCCAUGGCUUUUUGCCUGUCUAUCUCCCUGAUCUUCUUCCCUACACUGGAUGCAACUGCCCAAACCCUCAGCUCCCUUGCCUUCCCUGGCAUUCCGUUGCUGAAGUUCCUCUGUGCCUUUCUCUCCUCUUCUUCUCUAGUUUAGUCUACCAUUGCCCACUCUUCUUUAGCUCUGUGGUAAGACACCCAAACUUCAGGCCCUGGCCCUCUGCUCUUCUUCCUUUACUCAAGCUCCUGCCAGCAUGUCAUUAAUUCAUCCUAAUUUGUACUCCCUGUUCUGUUGCCUCCCCUCAGUGCCAAACCUCUCAUUAUAGUCAGAGGCCUAGACUUCACCCCAACUUCCUCUCCAAUUAAAUUCAUUCAGUUCUGCUGAACCAGUAUUAAGUGUCCAAAUGGGCCGGUCGUGGUGGCUCACACCUAUAAUGCCAGCACUUUUAGAGGCCGAGGUGGGAGGAUUGCUUGAGCCUAGAAGUUCAGACCAGCCUGGGCAACAUAGUGAGAUCCCAGCUUCUACCAAAAAAAAUUAUUUAAAUUAGUUAGGCAUAGUGGUGUGCAUCUGUGGUCCCAGCAACUUGGGAGGCUGAGGUGGGAGGAUCACUUGAGCUAGAGAGGUCAAGGCUGCAGUGAGCUGUGAUCUCGCCACUGCACUCCAGCCUAGGCAACAGAGCAAGACCCUGUCUCUAAAAAAUAAAUAAAAAUAAAAGUAC
rnacentral:lncRNA from 1 species